GCCCGUGGCCUCUCCGAGGUCUUGGGGAGGUCCACCCUCCGUCCCCAGGCCUGGCUCCCCGAGAGCUCAGAAGAGUAGCUUCCGUGUGCUGAUCAUCCGUCCGGGUGCGUUUCUCAGUGCCGGGGGCCUUGGGUGGGGGCCAGGCCUCGACUAUGCAGAGGGGCCCGGUGGGCUACAUCCCCAUAGGCCCUGGCCCCUGGAAUGAGUCAGGGGCCAGGGGAGAAUCGAGCCAAUCAGGGCCGUCACUCAGCCCCCACCCCUGCCCUACUCCUAAGGGUAGAAAAUUCCAGGGUGCCACACCACUGACAGCUCAGCCGCUCGAGGCCCCCCCCGGCAGCUGCCUGCCCCAAACCCGUCCUGGAGCAGAAAGUGCCUUUAUCUCAGCCGUCCGCAGGCUGCUCGGCCAGAUGCGGGGACAGGCUAGAAUGAGGGAGGCGUCUUCAUCUCCCCGCCCCGCCACCACACCACCCCACCCAUAGGGCUGCAGGUGCUGCUGAUGUACUGGGAUCUGAUAGAGGAUUAAAAAGGAAGGAAAGACGACCCCCACCCCCUCGCCACCCAUUUUUGAAAAGGUCCAAGCGAGUGAGUCUGGUGGAGGAGCUGAGGGAGGGAGCCAUGGAAGGUGCCAGAAGGAAGGUUGGCAGCAGCACGUGUGGGCUGUGGCUUUGGGUGGUCAUAGUGGCCUGAGCUGCCCAGUGCCUGCCCCACCCAAGUGACCAGGGAAGUGUGUGUGCGUCCAUGUGUGUGUGUGUCUGUCCGUACGUACAGUGUCUGGUUUGGCCCAAGACUGGGCUGUGGUUACAUUAGUGCCCAGCCAGCCACCCCCACCACUCACCCCUCCUGGCCCAGGCCUUGCUGACUCUGUGACCUGGGUGGGUUGGAGGACUGGCGAGCCUGACUCCUUGUCCUACCUGGGCCUGGGCCCCUCCCACUAGAGCCCAUGGUAAUGACGGCCUAGGAAGGAGAAGUGGAGUCAGAGGUGCACAGUCCACAGUGAGCUGAAGAGCGAGGUUCAUGGCAGCAAGGCCUGGCCCCUCACCCUCCGUCCCCAGGAGGGGACUGUGGGGGCUCCCUUUGCGGUGCAUGGCUGACCAAGUCCCCUUCUGCUUCCUGUUCCCAGUCGCACUCCUGGGGAGAGGGAGGGGCCUGACGAGACUCCACAUGGGUGCGCCUAUCACUGGGUGCAUCUGCAGGUCCCAGGCUGGCUGCUUGCUGCCAGAAGAGGGGCAGUGGGAGUCGGGGCACUGGGCGUCUGACUCCCUCCGCAUCCAGGAGAGGAAGGACUCCCCACCACCCUCACUGGCGGGACAGUUUACUUGCCAACUUGCCAUGUUUUUGCCAAAACCAAGAUUUUGAAGGAAAUGAGUGGCACCAGGCCAUGUGGCCCUCCCAGCCUCAGCAUCACUUGGUGGCAGGUUGGGGUGGGGAGGGGGUGGGCAGCAGCAUCCCAGCCUUGAGAUGCUUCACUUUCCUUCUCUGUAACCAGACCUUGAAAAUUGUUCGUUUCAUCAGGCUCUGAUCCUCAACGGCCUUUUGCUACGUGCCUCCCAAGACAUUUGUCUCUUUUUUGUAUAAACUACAAAAUGUUGAAAAUGUAUUUCCUGAAAUAAAUGUUUCAAAUGCAGAAACCCAGAA